UCUCUGGUGGUCCAGUGGCUCAGACUCUACACUCCCAAUGCAGGGGGCCUGGGUUCGACCCUUGGUCAGAGAA
rnacentral:tRNA from 1 species